ACCCUAUACGGGGGAUCACUUGGCUCGUGGGUCGAUGAAGAACGCAGCUAACUGUGUGAAAUCGUGUGAACUGCAGGACACAUGAACAUCGACAUUUUGAACGCAUAUUGCGGUCCAUGCAAAAGUUUCUCAAGAACUGCGUGGACCACGUAUGGUUGAGUGUCG
rnacentral:rRNA from 1 species